GGUUCCAUAGUCAAGUGGAAAGGCGCCUGGCUGCAACCCAGGAGACGACUGUUCGAUUCAGUCUGGAACCUCCA
rnacentral:tRNA from 1 species